UACGGGGGGAGCAAGCGUUGUUCGGAUUUACUGGGCGUAAAGGGCGCGUAGGCGGCGCGACAAGUCACUUGUGAAAUCUCUGGGCUCAACCCAGAACGGUCAAGUGAUACUGUCGUGCUAGAGUGCGGAAGGGGCAACUGGAAUUCUUGGUGUAGCGGUGAAAUGCGUAGAUAUCAAGAGGAACACCUGCGGCGAAGGCGGGUUGCUGGGCCGACACUGACGCUGAGGCGCGAAAGCUAGGGGGAGCGAACGGG
rnacentral:rRNA from 1 species